ensembl:lncRNA
AUGUUUCAUGUUACAUCCACAGCUUCAUGGAACAAGUUCUUUGUCUUCUUGGCGGGAAACACUAACGGGGCUCAUCAUGACCUUGUUGAAAAGCUUAAAGGUGUUGGUCACACUGAGGUGAACUCUCCUGAAGAAUGUGACUAUGUUCUGGUUUUUUGUCCUGUCGCUACAGUGGUUCGAAUAGACGUCAGAGAGGCUCUGGAUAAAACUCCUGCUGGUAAACCAGUAAUUCUGGUGGUGAUGCAUCACACCUUUGAUCCUGACCGUGUUGUAGCUGAAAGCAGGAGAUUAGUGACCGACCCGAACGUCCUCCUCACUGUGGACUGUCUGUUCUAUGAUCAACACGUCCUGAAAUGUAGCCGCAAUGAAACUGGAUGGUGUGAAGUUAAGAAGAGUCUUCAUGUUCCAGAGACUCGAUGGGACUGGCCAUCUAUGAAUGUAUCUAUGCCAUGGUGGAAAAGUAAAAACAAGGAAAAUUGAAAACACUCGUCAGUUAAAACUUUACUUAGGUGAAUUAAGACUUCCACAGAGCUGAAGUGAAUUCAAUCCCUUAUCACCUGCAUGUCAAUUACCUUCAGAGGAAAUCUCUUUACCACAGCCUGGAAGCCUGGAAAAUGAUCAAGGCUCCUCACAACCCAAGAAUGUUUUGAGGCACGUACAACGUCUGAGUUAGUACAUUAGUACAUUAAGUUUAAAACACAAACAUCUCUAUAAAAUCACUGUUGCUGCUUAAAAUAUGAAAGUGUUAUUCAUAAAGUAUUAUAAGUUAUAUGCUAUAUAUUUGUCUCUGUACAUGUGUCUCUCUGUAAUAAUAAAUUCAUGUGAUGGACUUCAUGUCUGAGUUAAUGUCUCAAAAAAACAAAACAAAACAUAAAAGCCUUUGACAGAUGAAGAUGAUUGUUACAGAUUGUGUCCCAGGUCAUAUUAAUUACGAAAAGAGCAAGAGACGAGCCUCCGUUAGGCUUCUCAAUCUACUCGAGCUACAACAGUUUCCUGCAGGUCUGUGCUGAACGCAUGGUGCACGUGUAGAAUAGUAAUAAGCUGCUCACACUAUGGGUGGGGACUAAUUUACUGCCUAUAACCAGUCAAUACCACUGAGUAUAAAAACAAACGAAAGAAACAACAACAACAACAAAUUAAAUACAGCGUGUAGGUACAUAGUGUGUCAUGGUGGUACUGUGCUGGCCCUUCUUGUACAGAGCGUCCGUGUUUCUAGACCAGUCCAGUUUAUUGUUGAGGUGAACACCCAGGUAUUUAAAUGUGUGGUGGAGGGGACCUCCUGAAGUCAAGAACCAGCUCCUUUGUCUUGCUGGUGUUUAGGAUCAGGUGUUUAUUUUCACAACAGCCCACAAAGUCAGAGAUGACCCCCCCUGUGCUCCUGCUCGUCCCCCCUGGAUACACAGCCAACAAUGGCGCUGUCAUCUGAGAACUCCUGUAGGUGACAGUGGUGGGAGUUGUAUUUAAAGUCCAAUGAGUACAGUGUGAACAGGAAAGGGGAGAGCAAAGUCCCUUGAG